UAGCUCAGUUGGUAAAGAAUCUGCCUGCAAUGCAGGAGACCCAGGUUCAAACCCUGG
rnacentral:tRNA from 1 species